rnacentral:rRNA from 1 species
CAGCAGCCACGGGAAUACAGAGGGUGCAAGCGUUAAUCGGAAUUACUGGGCGUAAAGCGCGCGUAGGUGGUUUGUUAAGUUGGAUGUGAAAGCCCCGGGCUCAACCUGGGAACUGCAUCCAAAACUGGCAAGCUAGAGUACGGUAGAGGGUGGUGGAAUUUCCUGUGUAGCGGUGAAAUGCGUAGAUAUAGGAAGGAACACCAGUGGCGAAGGCGACCACCUGGACUGAUACUGACACUGAGGUGCGAAAGCGUGGGGAGCAAACAGGAUUAGAUACCCCGGUAGUCCCUGUCUCUUAUAC